UCUGGGUGUGUUAGUGCAUACCUACAAUACCUACUUUUGGAGAGGCAAAGGCAACUUGGCUUCCUUGAACUCAGGAGUUCUGAGCUGCAGUAGGGCUAAGCCAAUUAGGUGUCCUUACUAACUCCAGCAUCAAUAUGGUGAGUCCCUGGAUGGGAGCCAAUCAGGCUGCCUGAAGAAGAAUAAACAGGCCCAGGUCAGAAAUGGAGUAGGUCAAAGCUCUCUAGCCAGUCAGUAGUGGUAAUGGGUCUUGAGUGGCAGGAGCACUUCCAGCCAGGGUAAGAUAGAGAGACCCCCGUCUUC
rnacentral:SRP_RNA from 1 species